rnacentral:rRNA from 1 species
UACAGAGGGGGCAAGCGUUGUUCGGAAUUACUGGGCGUAAAGGGCGCGUAGGCGGCCUUCUAAGUCGAACGUGAAAUCCCCGGGCUCAACCCGGGAACUGCGUCCGAUACUGGGAGGCUUGGAUUCGGGAGAGGGAUGUGGAAUUCCAGGUGUAGCGGUGAAAUGCGUAGAUAUCUGGAGGAACACCGGUGGCGAAGGCGGCAUCCUGGACCGAGAUCGACGCUGAGGCGCGAAAGCUAGGGGAGCAAACGGG